UACGUAGGGUGCAAGCGUUAAUCGGAAUUACUGGGCGUAAAGCGUGCGUAGGCGGUUUCUUAAGUCUGCUGUGAAAGCCCCGGGCUCAACCUGGGAAUGGCGAUGGAGACUGCAAGGCUAGAAUCUGGCAGAGGGGGGUAGAAUUCCACGUGUAGCAGUGAAAUGCGUAGAUAUGUGGAGGAACACCGAUGGCGAAGGCAGCCCCCUGGGCUAAGAUUGACGCUCAUGCACGAAAGCGUGGGGAGCGAACAGG
rnacentral:rRNA from 1 species